UACGAAGGGGGGCUAGCGUUGCUCGGAAUUACUGGGCGUAAAGCGCACGUAGGCGGUCUUUUUAAGUCGGGGGGUGAAAUCCUGGAGCUCAACUCCAGAACUGCCUCGAUACUGGAAGACUUGAGUCCGGGAGAGGUGAGUGGAACUGCGAGUGUAGAGGUGAAAUUCGUAGAUAUUCGCAAGAACACCAGUGGCGAAGGCGGCUCACUGGCCCGGUACUGACGCUCAGGUGCGAAAGCUAGGGGAGCGAACAGG
rnacentral:rRNA from 1 species